rnacentral:rRNA from 4 species
UUAAAUUGAAGAGUUUGAUCAUGGCUCAGAUUGAACGCUGGCGGCAGGCCUAACACAUGCAAGUCGAACGGUAACAGGAAGCAGCUUGCUGCUUUGCUGACGAGUGGCGGACGGGUGAGUAAUGUCUGGGAAACUGCCUGAUGGAGGGGGAUAACUACUGGAAACGGUGGCUAAUACCGCAUAACGUCGCAAGACCAAAGAGGGGGACCUUCGGGCCUCUUGCCAUCAGAUGUGCCCAGAUGGGAUUAGCUUGUUGGUGAGGUAACGGCUCACCAAGGCGACGAUCCCUAGCUGGUCUGAGAGGAUGACCAGCCACACUGGAACUGAGACACGGUCCAGACUCCUACGGGAGGCAGCAGUGGGGAAUAUUGCACAAUGGGCGCAAGCCUGAUGCAGCCAUGCCGCGUGUAUGAAGAAGGCCUUCGGGUUGUAAAGUACUUUCAGCGGGGAGGAAGGUGUUGUGGUUAAUAACCGCAGCAAUUGACGUUACCCGCAGAAGAAGCACCGGCUAACUCCGUGCCAGCAGCCGCGGUAAUACGGAGGGUGCAAGCGUUAAUCGGAAUUACUGGGCGUAAAGCGCACGCAGGCGGUCUGUCAAGUCGGAUGUGAAAUCCCCGGGCUCAACCUGGGAACUGCAUUCGAAACUGGCAGGCUUGAGUCUUGUAGAGGGGGGUAGAAUUCCAGGUGUAGCGGUGAAAUGCGUAGAGAUCUGGAGGAAUACCGGUGGCGAAGGCGGCCCCCUGGACAAAGACUGACGCUCAGGUGCGAAAGCGUGGGGAGCAAACAGGAUUAGAUACCCUGGUAGUCCACGCCGUAAACGAUGUCUACUUGGAGGUUGUGCCCUUGAGGCGUGGCUUCCGGAGCUAACGCGUUAAGUAGACCGCCUGGGGAGUACGGCCGCAAGGUUAAAACUCAAAUGAAUUGACGGGGGCCCGCACAAGCGGUGGAGCAUGUGGUUUAAUUCGAUGCAACGCGAAGAACCUUACCUGGUCUUGACAUCCACGGAAGUUUUCAGAGAUGAGAAUGUGCCUUCGGGAACCGUGAGACAGGUGCUGCAUGGCUGUCGUCAGCUCGUGUUGUGAAAUGUUGGGUUAAGUCCCGCAACGAGCGCAACCCUUAUCCUUUGUUGCCAGCGAUUCGGUCGGGAACUCAAAGGAGACUGCCAGUGAUAAACUGGAGGAAGGUGGGGAUGACGUCAAGUCAUCAUGGCCCUUACGACCAGGGCUACACACGUGCUACAAUGGCGCAUACAAAGAGAAGCGACCUCGCGAGAGCAAGCGGACCUCAUAAAGUGCGUCGUAGUCCGGAUUGGAGUCUGCAACUCGACUCCAUGAAGUCGGAAUCGCUAGUAAUCGUGGAUCAGAAUGCCACGGUGAAUACGUUCCCGGGCCUUGUACACACCGCCCGUCACACCAUGGGAGUGGGUUGCAAAAGAAGUAGGUAGCUUAACCUUCGGGAGGGCGCUUACCACUUUGUGAUUCAUGACUGGGGUGAAGUCGUAACAAGGUAACCGUAGGGGAACCUGCGGUUGGAUCACCUCCUUACCUGAAAGAAGC